rnacentral:rRNA from 1 species
AUUGAACGCUGGCGGCAGGCCUAACACAUGCAGGUCGAACGGUAGCACAGAGAGCUUGCUCCCGGGUGACGAGUGGCGGACGGGUGAGUAAUGUCUGGGAAACUGCCCGAUGGAGGGGGAUAACUACUGGAAACGGUAGCUAAUACCGCAUAACGUCGCAAGACCAAAGAGGGGGGACCUUCGGGCCUCUUGCCAUCGGAUGUGCCCAGAUGGGAUUAGCUUGUAGGUG